AGCGACAGCCUGAAGGCCUCCAAGUGGGGAGGGCGCUGGAGGAGGGGCCUGAGAGGCAGGCCUUGAUGAAUUGUUUGGAUUUUUUUCUAAGUGCAUUGGAAGCCACAGGAAGAUUUUUUUUUUUUUUUUUUUUUGGAUGGAGUCUCGCUCUGUCGCCCAGGCUGGAGUGCAAUGCGCCAUCUCGGCUCACUGCAACCUUCGCCUCCCGGUUUCAAGUGAUUCUCCGGCCUCAGCCCCCCGAGCAGCUGGGAAUACAGGUGCGUGCCACCACCCCCGAGUAAUUUUUUGUAUUUCUAGUAGAGACAGAGUUUCAUUGUGUUAGCCAGGAUGGUCUUGAUCUCCUGACCUCGUGAUCCGCCCACCUCAGCCUUCCAAAGUGCUGGGAUUACACGCAUGGUUACAGGCCAGCCAUAGGAGGAUCUUUAGAAGGAAAACAGCUGCCCCACGUGGUGGCUCGCACCUGCAUUUCAGCACUUUGGAAGCUGGAGGAGAAAUUAAAUAUCAGAGUUGGAAAGGACAGAAGCAGCCUGAACUCUCAUCCAUAUGAACUCUGUACAACCAUUGUGGAGGGCCAUUGGCAGUACACAGUCAAGUUGAAGGUAAGCAUUCCCCAUAACAUGGUAAUUCCACCUUCUAGAGAAUCACUUGUACAGGUGUGUAAGGAUGCAGGCACAACAAUAUUAGACCUAGCUGGAUUAGAACCAGCAAAAUUUGAAAAUAAACUAAAUCAGGGUCAGCAAACCGGACCACAGACCAAAACUUGUCCACUGCCUGUUUCUAUAAACAAAGUUUUAUUGGAACACAGCUGCGCCCAUUUGUUUGCAUAUUGUCCAAGGCUGCUUUCCGGGUACAACAGCAGAGUUGAGAGACUGCACAGAGAAUGGAUGACCUGUAAAGGCUGAAAUAUUUACAACCUGACUCUGCAGAAAACGCUUGAGACCCUUGAUCUAAAUACUCAUCAGGGAAUACAGAUGAUGCUACAAGCAAUGAAAAUAGUAAACCACAGCUACAUAUGUCGACAUGACUAAAUCUCAAAAAUAAAAUAUUUUCAAAAGCAAGUUACAAAAUGUUACAGUAUGAUGCUAUUUAUAUGAAGCCUGAAUACAUGCACAGAAUGGUAUGCAUGUUUAUGGACAUGUGUGUUUGUAGUAGGAGAAUUAAAAUACGUGGUUGGGCGCCGUAGCUCAUGCCUGUAAUCCUGGCAGUUUGGGAGGCCAAGGUGGGCAGAUCACCUGAGGUCGGGAGUUCAAAACCAGCUUGACCAACAUGGAGAAACCCCAUCUCUACUAAAAACACAAAAUCAGCCGGGCGUGGUGACGCAUGCCUAUAAUCCCAGCUACUCCAGAGACUGAGGCAGGAGAAUCGCUUGAACCUGGGAGGUGGAGGUUGCGGUGACCGAGAUUGCAUCAUUGCACUCCAGCCUGGGCAACAAAAAUGAAACUCCAUCUCAAAAAAAAAAUAAAAGAAUUAAAAUAUGCAUGGAAAUACCCGAAAAAGAGUUCCCACUGGGAAGAAAGAGACUAGGACCAGGGAUCAGGGAGGGGGUUACAUAUAAAACUUCGAUGGUGUCUUUAAUCUUGUUUUUUUUUUAAUGACAUAAUAUGCAAAUAUGGAAAAAUGAUUUCAGCCGGGUGGGGUGGCUCACGCCUGUAAUCCUAGCACUUUGGGAGGCUGAGGUGGGCAGGUCACCUGAGCUCAGGAGACCAGCCUGGCCAACAUAGUGAAACCCCAUCUCUACUAAAAAUACAAAAAAUUAGCUGAGCGUGGUGGAGCGUGCCUGUAGUCCCAGCUACUCGUGAAGCUGAAAUAGGAGAAUUGCUGAACCCAGGAGACGGAGGUUGCAGUGAGCCGAGAUUACACCACUGCACUCCAGCCUGGGCAACAGAGUGAGACGAAAGACUCUGUAUCAAAAAAAAAAAAAAAAAAACGGCCGGGCAUGGUGGCUCACGCCUGUAAUCACUUUGGGAGGCCAAGGUGGGCAGAUCACGAGGUCAGGAGUUCAAGACCAGUCUGGCCAACAUGGUGAAACGCUGCCUCUACUAAAACUACAAAAAAAUUAGCCAGGCGUGGAGGCACGUGCCUGCAGUCCCAGCUACUCAGGAGGCUGAGGAAGGAGAAUCGCUUGAACCCGGGAGGUGGAGGUUGCAGUGAGCCAAGAUCACACCACUAUACUCCAGCUUAGGCAACAGAGCGAGACUCUGCCUCAAAAAAAAAAAAAAAAAAAAAAGAACCUGAGGGUUACUUUAGGGGUCUCCCAUGUCCACUGCAGUUCUAGAAUUCAGUGGCCCAUCAUCAACUGAGUGGAUAAACAAAAUGUGGUCUGUCCACACAAGGGAAUAUUAUUUGGCCCUAAAAAGAAUAAAGUUCUGGCCAGGCACAGUGGCUCACACCUGUAAUCCCAGCACUUUGGGAGGCCGAGGUGAGUGGUUCACCUGAGGUCAGGAUUUCAAGACCAGCCUGGCCAACAUGGCGAAACCUCAUCUGUACUAAAAAUACAAAAAUUAGCCAGGUGUGGUGGCGGGCGCCUGUAAUCCCAGCUACACAGCAGGCUGAGGCAAGAGAAUUGCUUGAACCCAGGUAGCGGAGGCUGUAGUGAGCCGAGGUUGCACCACUGCCCUCCAGCCUGGGCGACAGAGCGAGACUCUGCCUCAAAAAAAAAAAAAAAAAAAAGAAUAAAGUUCUAACCCAUGCUGCCACAUGGAUGGAAUUGGAAGACGUUAUACUCAGUGAAAGAAGCCAGAUUCAGAGGACCACAUCUUGUAUGAUUCCAUUCCCGUGAAAUCUCCGGAACAGGCAAACCCACACAGAUGGAAAAUAGAUUCGUGGCUGCCAGGGGCUGGGGAGAAUGGGAGGGUCCCAGGGAUGAUGGCUAAGGGGUGAGGGCUUCUCUUUGAGAUGAUCAAAACGUUCUAAAAUUGAUUGUGGUGAUGGUUGCACAAUUAUGUGAAUAUACUAAAAAACCAUAGAACUGUACACCUUAAAUGGGUAAACUGUAUGGUAUGCGAAUUCUAUCUCAAUAAAGUUGCUAAAAAAUAAAAGUCUCCAUUUCUCCCCUUGCCCCGCCCCCCAAAAAACACUAAAAUUUUAAUGGUCCUAUAUUCAUUCUUUGAAUGUUCACUCCAUGAGCCAAUGUCCUAGCUAGAAUGAAUCUCCAAGCUGCUUAGAAGAGUUAGGGACAGACUGUCAGAAAACUGGGUGUGGGUAAUUAACUUCUGCUACACCCAAGACAAUCUUUUCUUUUUGCUUUCUUUUUUUUUUUUUUGAGACAGAGAGUCACUCUGUUGCCCAGGCUGGAGUACAGGGGCACCAUCUCUCGGCUCACAGCAACCUCCACCUCCUGGGUUCCAGC
rnacentral:lncRNA from 1 species